rnacentral:rRNA from 1 species
UAGACUCCUACGGGAGGCAGCAGUGGGGAAUAUCACAUGGGCGGGAANCCUAUGCAGCAACGCCGCGUGCGGGAUGANGGCCUUCGGGUUGUAAACCGCUUCGCCUGUGACGAAGCGUGAGUGACGGUAAUGGGUAAAGAAGCACCGGCUAACUACGUGCCAGCAGCCGCGGUGAUACGUAGGGUGCGAGCGUUGUCCGGAUUUAUUGGGCGUAAAGGGCUCGUAGGUGGUUGAUCGCGUCGGAAGUGUAAUCUUGGGGCUUAACCCUGAGCGUGCUUUCGAUACGGGUUGACUUGAGGAAGGUAGGGGAGAAUGGAAUUCCUGGUGGAGCGGUGGAAUGCGCAGAUAUCAGGAGGAACACCAGUGGCGAAGGCGGUUCUCUGGGCCUUUCCUGACGCUGAGGAGCGAAAGCGUGGGGAGCGAACAGGAUUAGAUACCCUGGUAG